rnacentral:rRNA from 1 species
UAAGACGUAGGGCGCGAGCGUUGUCCGGAUUUAUUGGGCGUAAAGAGCUCGUAGGCGGCUCGUUGCGUCGGCUGUGAAAACCCGCAGCUCAACUGUGGGCUUGCAGCUGAUACGGGCGGGCUAGGAUUCGGUAGGGGAGACUGGAAUUCCUGGUGUAGCGGUGAAAUGCGCAGAUAUCAGGAGGAACACCGGUGGCGAAGGCGGGUCUCUGGGCCGAUAUCGACGCUGAGGAGCGAAAGCGUGGGGAGCGAACAGGAUUAGAUACCCUGGUAGUCCACGCUGUAAACGUUGGGCGCUAGGUGUGGGGGGCCUCUCCGGUUCUCUGUGCCGCAGCUAACGCAUUAAGCGCCCCGCCUGGGGAGUACGGCCGCAAGGCUA